GGGGAAUAUUGCACAAUGGGCGAAAGCCUGAUGCAGCAACGCCGCGUGAGUGAAGAAGGUUUUCGGAUUGUAAAGCUCUGUCAUCUGGGACGAUAAUGACGGUACCAGAUGAGGAAGCCACGGCUAACUACGUGCCAGCAGCCGCGGUAAUACGUAGGUGGCAAGCGUUGUCCGGAUUUACUGGGCGUAAAGGAUGUGUAGGCGGAUAUUUAAGUGAGAUGUGAAAUCCCCGGGCUUAACUUGGGGGCUGCAUUUCAAACUGAAUGUCUGGAGUGCAGGAGAGGAGAACGGAAUUCCUAGUGUAGCGGUGAAAUGCGUAGAGAUUAGGAAGAACACCAGUGGCGAAGGCGGUUCUCUGGACUGUAACUGACGCUGAGGCACGAAAGCGUGGGUAGCAAAC
rnacentral:rRNA from 1 species